CCACAGUUGCACUCUAAAUUCGCCUCAUCGCCGUUCGGCUCAGCAGCGACGAAAAUGACGACGACGAAUUCAACGAUGACGAUAACGAUGGCGACGGCGACGACGAUGGCCUGUGUCUCUGACAUUUUCCGCUGUGCUUGGCAUUGAAAGCGCGACAGGCAAGCAGCUAACAACGUUCCAUUCCCAAGCAAAAAGACAGCACUAAACAGUUCAACACCAAUAGCAGUGUUCACUAGGACUAAAAAAAAGCAAAAAAUAAAUAUAAAAACAAAUAAAACUUAAAAGUACAAUAGCUUAAUUGCAUUUUUUAUACGAUGGUAAUUAAAUUUAAACACGCAAAUGACAACAAUGACACCAUCGAGUCCCAAUAACAAUAAUAACACAAAAAAAAAUACAAAUUAAUUGUGCAACAACAAAAAUAAACGUAACACAAAAAAAAUCAUUUGAGUAGUGCUCCACAAAUACGCAAAAACAAACAACAACAACAAUAAUGUAUUCCAAUUGUACUUCACCUAUACAUGUAUAUGAAUAUAUAUAUACAUGUAUAUGUGUUAAGUAAGUGCAAUUCUGUGAGCUAAAAUUGUGAAAUUCUUUAAAAAAAAUUCUAAAUUAAUUAAUGUGUUAAAUAAAGUAAAUUCGUAUGCACCUUUGGAAAAUUGCGUGUCAAAAUUUGGCUUUUUCUAAAUGCCAAAUUGUAAUUAUGCAUGCGAAGAAAGAAAUUUCUCUGUGCAAAUGAAAUGAAAUCAAAUCGAAUUAUUGAAAAACAUUGCAUCACCAGAAACGGAAGAAAAACCCAGGGGAAAACUUGGAAAAGGAAACGCUUGACGCCAUAUGGAUGAUGUUAUUAUGUACUAGCAACGAGGGGCAAAAAGCACAGCCAGAACACAAACACACAGGCAAAGCGCACACGCACACGGAUAAAAAAAAGCACUCGCACUGUGGCAAAAUGAGCAAAGAACGUCAUAGAACUGCCAGCGAACGGGUAAGGGACAAGUAGAAUGUAUGAAUGAAAGAAUGACAACGGCAGACAGAGAGCGAAAGGGAGAGAGAACAGAGCAGAGACGAACGAGCGAGAGAAAACAGAGCGGAAUUACGGCUGAAGGCCACGAAGCGUCGUCGUCAAUAGCAGCAGCAGCAGUGUUUUAUGUGUGAUGGCAACAUCGGUGUGUGGGGCAGUAGGGCACAGCACUCGGUGGUGUCGAAGAAGAACAACAGGAACAGGAAGAAACCAAAAAAACAAAAAAAAAUAAAACUUGACGAAACUUAAACACUGAGAGUGUGUGAGCAGCGUGAGCGCGCCAACGAGAGCGAAUACUAGAAGAUAGAAGCUCUGCUCUUGCUCAGUCGACGCCGAUGUAGACGUCGACGGCGACGACGACGACAAACUUUCCUUGUGGCCAGUCGUCGACGACGACAUUGAGCAACGGCACCUUCAACCGAUCGCAGCGCAGCACAGUCCUCCAGUUCGUGUCCGCGUUUGUCAAAAUUCGCAGUACGUGGAAUGCGGAAACAAAACGCAUAUUAAAUUCGGGAUAUAUGUACAUAUAUAUGUAUGUAUGUGUGUAAAUACAUGCAUAAUACAUAUGCAUAUUGCGUUGUUGUUAUUUCGUCCUUUCGUCGUCGAAAGCAACCCCCGUUUAAGCCAAGCCGCAAGCACAAUGAAAAUAACGCAAAUCUGCCAAUGGAGAGUGGAGUGGAGCGGAGCGGAGCGGUGAGGAGAGGAGAGAUGUAGAAUGUGUGGCUAAAGAGUUGUGGCGGACAGCGCAGCAUCAGCAGCGUCAGCAUGGAAGUGUAAUCAGCGACAGUCGAGUGAACUGAAUCCAGUUACAGCAACAGCAAUCACACACACACAUACGCACAUACACACUCGCCCCUACACACGAACAGAAAGGCCUGCGAAAUGAAAGUAAACACAAAGAACGAAAAGAAAAAAUAAAUAAAUCAUGCGAGCGAUUACGAUAAGAGGAAGAGUUGAAAAAAAAUGUGUCCACAAUUUUCGCAUGACGACAGCAAAAAGCAGCAACAGCAGGCAGUACAACAACAACAACGACAAUUAAAGUGCAGUGCUGCUGCUGCAUCGCGUGUGCGAGCGAGAGAGCGAGCGGGCAAACAAAAAUGGCGCAUGGCAUGCGCACUGAGCAGCAGAACUUGAACUUGAAAAUUGCUUUUAUUGUUGCUGCUGCUGCUGCUGCUACUGCUUGCUCUGCUCAUCAGACGUAUAUGUUCCAUAUAACUUGACGCGGCAGCGAAGUCAACGAAGGCGGCACCAGAGCACCAUAAAAAGCCGGCGAAGCCAAAGUGCUGAGCGCAGAGAGCAAAGAGAAACGAGAGAGUGAGAGAGAGCGCCGAUAGGCUAAGCUUUGCUUGCUGCUGCUGGCAGCGCAGGUACGUAUAUGUGUAUGAGUGUGAGAAGUAAAUAAGUGAAUAUGUGGACAAAAGAAAAACAAAAACAAAAACAAACGGGCAUGGUAUGUGGGAGAAUGUGAGGCGAAAGCUUUUUGCAAUAGCUUUUGCGUGGGCGACUUAAGGCCAGGCAGCGCUGCCGACGUCCGCCAACUGUUUGCUUUUGUUGUACUCUCAAGGAGUGCUUUUUAAUGCUGCCAGCUGCCCCGAAACUUUCUCUUUCAUGUAUGCGUGCGUGUGUGUGUGUGUGUGUAAAUAAUGCUGUUGCAUAUUUACUGGGAAACGAUGACGCGCACCUGUGCGAACCACAGCUGCAGCGUCGAUAGGAUGCUGCUGCUGCUUGCUUGCUGCCAGCCUGGCGCAAACUUAUUCAGUGUUGAGCGCUCUCCAGGCGAGGUCAGGCCUCACUCUCACUCUCCUUCUGUCUCUGUCUCUAUACGUGUGUGUUCGCGUGUGUGUGUGUGUUGGUAAAGUUGCCAUAUGAGUGCGUUAAUUGUGUGCCGAAAAUGUGGCAAAAAUAACAUAAUCUGGUGAAAAUUGAUUAAUAGCUUAAAAUAAGCUGUGUCCAAACGAGAGUGGGAUUCUCACUGUGUAUGUGUGUGUGUUUGUGUGUAAACUUGUAUAACAUAUGGGAAAUCGAAACUUUUGAUAAUUAAUGUUGUGCUCACACACACACACACGGACAGACACAAGAUACACAAUUGCGCCUUGGCAUAUGCAACACAUUUUUUGGCUUGUUUUUAUUUAAGCUUUUGACCUUUUCACACAAAUAAACACAGAGACAUACACACGCACACUUACGCACAACAAAACAAGCCCAUUUAACAAGAUGCGAUGCGUAAGCAGCAGUUGAGUUAUGUUCAUAUAUAUAUAUACAGCUAAACAUUUGUAUGUGUGUGCCAUUGGUAUAUUUAUAUAUAUAUUUUUAGUUGAGGGACAGCUGGCAAAUUACGGUGGAGUAGUGUGCAUUUUUUAAAAUUCAAACAAAGGUUUAUUCAUUUUAUAAAA